rnacentral:rRNA from 1 species
UCGGGAAUCUUGGGCAAUGGGCGCAAGCCUGACCCAGCAACGCCGCGUGAGGGAUGAAGGCCUUCGGGUCGUAAACCUCUGUCGGGAGGGACGAACGAUCAACGGGCGAAUAGUCCGGUGGUCUGACGGUACCUCCAAAGGAAGCGCCGGCUAACUCCGUGCCAGCGGCCGCGGUAAUACGGAGGGCGCAAGCGUUGUUCGGAAUCACUGGGCGUAAAGCGCGUGUAGGCGGCUUGGCAAGUCGGGUGUGAAAUCCCGGGGCUCAACCCCGGAACUGCACUCGAAACUGCCUCGCUAGAGUCCCGGAGAGGAAGGCGGAAUUCCCGGUGUAGAGGUGAAAUUCGUAGAUAUCGGGAGGAACACCAGCGGCGAAGGCGGCCUUCUGGACGGUGACUGACGCUGAGACGCGAAAGCGUGGGGAGCAAACAGGAUUAGAUACCCCCGUAGUCC